rnacentral:rRNA from 1 species
CUGCUGCCUUCCGUAGGAGUCUGGGCCGUGUCUCAGUCCCAAUGUGGCCGUCCACCCUCUCAGGCCGGCUACUGAUCGUCGCCUUGGUAGGCCGUUACCCUGCCAACCAGCUAAUCAGACGCGGGCCCAUCUCGCACCACCUGGGUUUUCAGGGCAGGGGCAUGCGCCCCCGCCCGCUAUGCGGUGUUAGCACCUAUUUCUAAGUGUUAUCCCCCAGUGCGAGGCAGGUUGCCCACGCGUUACUCACCCGUCCG